AGCGCCUAGCAGGAUACCUGGCAUACGGGAGUGUGGGUGGCACUAUUGACCUACGGGCACUAAAAUGGACAACUCUUUGGGACGAGUUUGGUUAAGAAGAGGAACCAAGGCACAAAGUUCAAGCACUACUGGAGAAAGCUGAACCCCAACUGGAGGAGGAGACUGUUAAGUGCUCCCUGAUGAAGAGAAAACAGCUCACUAUUUGUGGUAACAUUGACCCUGACUGCAGACAACACAGUCAUCAAGUGGCCACAGUGUAUCUUCUCCUCAGUGUGUUAUAUGGACAAAGAUGACCUUCAUUCAGAAAGAUGCUGGGGAGGCAGGGUGGAGGCUCAGGGUUGCCGAGCCGGGUUUGACUUGACCCGCACCGGCUCAUCAUCCUGCCAACUGGAAGCAACAAGCAUUACAAAAUAAGGUUGCUGGUCUGUGAUCUCGACUGAACCCCUGGCACCCGAUGGACCACAAUUCCUGAAGCCACUCGAGACUUCUUCAGUUGUAACUGACAUGUUCAUCAACCCAUUAAAUAACUGUCAUACCA